AUUGAACGCUGGCGGCAUGCUUUACACAUGCAAGUCGAACGGCAGCGCGGGCUUCGGCCUGGCGGCGAGUGGCGAACGGGUGAGUAAUGCAUCGGAACGUGCCCAGUAGUGGGGGAUAGCGCGGCGAAAGCCGGAUUAAUACCGCAUACGACCUGAGGGUGAAAGCGGGGGAUCGAAAGGCCUCGCGCUAUUGGAGCGGCCGAUGUCGGAUUAGCUAGUUGGUGGGGUAAAGGCUUACCAAGGCGACGAUCCGUAGCUGGUCUGAGAGGACGACCAGCCACACUGGAACUGAGACACGGCCCAGACUCCUACGGGAGGCAGCAGUGGGGAAUUUUGGACAAUGGGGGCAACCCUGAUCCAGCCAUGCCGCGUGCGGGAAGAAGGCCUUCGGAUUGUAAACCGCUUUUGUUCGGGAAGAAAUCCUCUGGGCUAAUACCCCGGGGGGAUGACGGUACCGGAAGAAUAAGCACCGGCUAACUACGUG
rnacentral:rRNA from 1 species